GCAGGUGUGGCGGAAUGGCAGACGCGCUAUCUUGAGGGGGUAGUGAACAAAUGUUCGUAUGGGUUCAAGUCCCAUCAUCUGCA
rnacentral:tRNA from 1 species